rnacentral:lncRNA from 1 species
UCUUGCAAAGCAAGGCUGGAGAAUUAUUGAUAAUCCUAUGUCCCUUUUAGCUAGAACAUUAAAAGCCAAGUAUCAUCCAAAUUCUGAUUUUUUAAGCUCAGAGUUAGGGAGCUUACCAUCAUAUACUUGGAAACGUAUAUGGGCUGCAAAGGGACUGCUGUUCGCAGGAUUAUAGUGGAAGGUGGGUAACGGGCAAAGCAUCAGAAUUGAAGAAGAUGUCUGGGUUCCAAAUGUGGAGAGCGGGCUGGUUAAAAAAAAUGUCAAUAGGCAAACUGUUACAAAAGUCGAAGAUCUUAUUGAUAAUAGGAAUAGAAAAUGGAAUUCGGAACUGAUUUUAAAGACCUUCUCUAAAGAGGUCGCUCAAAAGAUCUUGUUAAUUCCACUGGCUCAGCACACUCACGAAGACUUUCUGAGUUGGCAAGGCGAGGCAUCUGGAGAGUAUUCUGUGUGCAGCAGUUACAAAAUCCUCUUACAAAGAAAUGAAAAUUACAGGCAAGAGGAAAUCAAUACAUGUUACAAAAAAACUCUGGAGCUGUGACCUCCCUUCAAAAAUUAAUAUUACAGCCUAGAGAGUCACCCUUAACUUUAUCCCUACUCUAGUAAACCUAAAAGCUAAGCGACUAAUAAAUGAGGCCAAUUGUUAGAGGUGCUUGUAAGGGCUGGAAACAAGAGAACACGUCUUCCGGGAUUGCACUGUCACAAAAGAAAUAUGGGAAAAAUUAGAGUUUACAUGGCCUCAGGCUCUUUCACAAGUUGAGUUUAUGGAAUGGUUUACCUGAAUUAUGCUCCACAGUACAAGAGAAGCCAGUCAGACCUUCAUUUGCACUUUAUGGGCUAUCUGGGCAGCUAGAAACAAAUGGAUGUAUGAAAACCACAAGAGAACUGGAGCAGAAAUAGUAAAAUUCAUACGGGGAUAUAUACAGGAAGUUAAAGACAUUACGAAAACAGAUCUUGCCUUAAGGUUGGAAUCUGAGUUAUGGAGGCCUCCGGAAAAAGAGUUCUUCAAGAUAAACUUUGAUGCUGCCUUUGAUAAUAGAUAGAACAGAUCCUGUUCAAGAAUAAUAAUCAGAAAUUUCAAGGGUGACAUUAUAGUAUCCAACACAAUAAUUCAUACCAACAUAUGCACUAGUUUUGCGGCUGAAGCAAACGCAUGUCUACAGGCAGUCAAGAUGGGCAGAGAAUUAGGGAUAAAACAGAUUAACAUUGAAGGAGACUCCUUAACAGUUAUAAAGAAAGUUAAAAGCUCAAAAAGAGACAGAUUGGAAAUAGGACCUUUUAUCUAUGAUAUAAAAGAACAGAAAGCAACAUUCCACGAUUUUCAGUUUCAAUAUGUCAGACGAUCAGCAAAUACAGAAGCACAUAAUCUGGCAACGGAAGGGCUAAAAAUGGACAGAAGUACAUACCUGGCUCCUGGGUCCGGCGGAAAUGGCAUUUCUGAAGCAGAGGUAGAUCGGGGAUAGAGAUAAACCAAUUGGAAAUAGUAACAACACCAGUUGCGGGGACAAAAGAGGAGAAGACGAUCUAUCUAGCAGGAAAAUACAUGGCGGUACAAAAAUCUUUAGAAAAGGAAAAUGAGUGGAAGACGGGCUGCGAAUAAGAAGAAGGCAACGAUGGAAAAGAAAAGAUCAAAGGAAUAAGACUAACAGCUGGGAAGACAAUAUCUUUUCGUUGGA